rnacentral:rRNA from 1 species
GGCUUGUGCUUAACACAUGCAAGUCGAACGAAGCUUGAUGAUUGAUUUCUUCGGAAAGAAAUUUGAUAUGACUGAGUGGCGGACGGGUGAGUAACGCGUGAGCAACCUGCCCUUCAGAGGGGGAUAGCGUCUGGAAACGGACGGUAAUACCGCAUAACGUACAAAGGCCGCAUGACCAUUGUACCAAAACUGAGGUGCUGAAGGAUGGGCUCGCGUUGGAUUAGAUAGUUGGUGGGGUAACGGCCUACCAAGUCGACGAUCCAUAGCCGGACUGAGAGGUUGAACGGCCACAUUGGGACUGAGACACGGCCCAGACUCCUACGGGAGGCAGCAGUGGGGAAUAUUGCACAAUGGGGGAAACCCUGAUGCAGCAACGCCGCGUGAAGGAAGACGGUUUUCGGAUUGUAAACUUCUGUUCUUAGUGAAGAUAGUGACGGUAGCCAAGGAGCAAGCCACGGCUAACUACGUGCCAGCAGCCGCGGUAAUACGUAGGUGGCAAGCGUUGUCCGGAAUUACUGGGUGUAAAGGGAGCGCAGGCGGGGAGCCAAGUCAGCUGUGAAAACUACAGGCUUAACUUGUAGACUGCAGUUGAAACUGGUUUUCUUGAGUGAAGUAGAGGUUGGCGGAAUUCCGAGUGUAGCGGUGAAAUGCGUAGAUAUUCGGAGGAACACCGGUGGCGAAAGCGGGCCAACUGGGCUUUAACUGACGCUGAGGCUCGAAAGUGUGGGGAGCAAACAGGAUUAGAUACCCUGGUAGUCCACACUGUAAACGAUGAUUGCUAGUGUGGGGGGUCUGACCCCUUCCGUGCCGCAGCUAACGCAUAAGCAAUCCACCUGGGGAGUACGACCGCAAGGUGAAACUCCAAAGGAAU